CUCUGGGCAUGACAUAGAAUUUGUGAGGAUAGAGAUGGAGAAGGGGGACAUGGAGGACAGCAUGACAUAGAAUUUGUGAGGAUAGAGAUGGUGAGUCAUAUCCUGGAGACUGAAACUUUGAUUUCUGCUUCCCCUCUGUACAGGCAUGUCUAAUGGACUUGUUUCCCCUUUUCAGAAAAAGGGGGACAUGGAGGACAGGUAAAGGUGGGUGAGCAAUCUGCCCCAAACUAUUUGAUAUGAAUAGCCAGCUAAGGACAUCUAUGUAGAUGCUUGUACCUGUGCAGAUAUGGUGGCUGGAACAGGCAGGCUAGAAAAGGUGAAUCACGAAUUCACACCUGCAUUCUUGGAAGCAUUAGGCCAACAGAAGAACAGUAGAACCACAAGACAGAUGAGAAGACUUACUUCUGUACACUGACAGAGAUGACAGCCCCUCACA
rnacentral:lncRNA from 1 species